rnacentral:misc_RNA from 1 species
UCUCCGUUGGUGAACCAGCGGAGGGAUCAUUAAAGAGUUGCAAAACUCCCAAACCAUUGUGAACAUACCUUCAACGUUGCUUCGGCGGGUUGGCCCCGGUAUCCGGGGUCCCCGGCCCUAACGGGCGCCCGCCGGAGGUACCUAACUCUUGAACGUUUAUGGCCUCUCUGAGUCGUUGUACUUAACAAGUCUAAACUUUCAACAACGGAUCUCUUGGUUCUG